UGAGCAGGGAUUUCUGUCACUUGCGGCAGAAA
rnacentral:piRNA from 1 species